UCUAAGAUGAAUGAAGUAACUGAUACUCGCUUGCUAAUUACUUUGCUAAUCAUUUAUUACAUUAUAGGGACGGGAAAAUGCCCGUGUCGUCUAUCCAAAAGUAUCUCGUAAAGAAACUAGAUCUUAAGAGCGAAGCCGAGGUGGAAAUAUUGUGUCGGGGACAGCCGGUGCUACCAACGCAGCAGCUACAGAACUUGGUUGACUUGUGGUUUCGAACAGCGUCGACAGCGAAGAAAAUUCCAGCAUCGGUUGGCUCAUCUGCUAAGGACUUCGUUAUGGUCCUCUCGUACUGUCGAAAAGUGCAGACCCCUUGACGAGGUUCUGAAUCGUGUUCUUGCUUCUGUACGUCGUCUACAUCUUGUAAUGUUUAAUGAGCAUCAGAAUCCGGACCCGAAGACUCCGGGUUCGUCAUAUUUGCGUGAACAUGCAGAUUGUUGUUAUAUAUCUGAAUUCUUUGAUUGGUUUUAUUUCAUUGGUAUACCCACAUAAUGAACAAUUGAUCCAGUGCUGUUUCCCAUUCCA